rnacentral:miRNA from 1 species
AUGUAGCGAGCUGAGUGGGGAGGAGAGAGAGACAGAGAGCCUGCUUGCUUUAAAGAAACCAACUGGACAGGAGCCGCUUACACUCGUGUAAGUGGCUCCUCUCCUCUCCCGCUUUGCUCCUUUAAAGAAGCAGGCUCUCUGUCCCUCUCUCCUCCCCACUCAGCGGCUCUUCUC